AGCUCCAAUAGCGUAUAUUAAAGUUGUUGUGGUUAAAAAGCUCGUAGUUGGAUCUCAACAGCCUUGAAGCGGUUAACUUUGUAGUUUUACUGCUUUGUAGGCUGUGCUUUUGCUGGAGGUUUAGGGGUGCUCUUGAUCGAGUGUCUCUGGAUGCCAGCAGGUUUACUUUGAAAAAAUUAGAGUGCUCAAAGCAGGCUAAAACGCCUGAAUAUUCGUGCAUGGAAUAAUAGAAUAGGAUGGAGAUCCGAUGGGGGGGGUUUGCGGGACUCGACAUAAGGAUAAAGAGGGACAGUCGGGGGCAUUUGUAUUCAAACGACAGAGGUGAAAUUCUUGGACCGUUUGAAGACAAACUACUGCGAAAGCAUUUGCCAAGAAUGUUUUCA
rnacentral:rRNA from 1 species